GCCCCCGUGGCGGAGUGGUUACCGCUUGGUACUUAUGUUUUCUGAAUCUUCUGAGGAUAUGCCAAGGUCGCCAGUUCGAUCCUGGCCGGGGGCA